UACAGAGGGUGCGAACGUUGUUCGGAUUUACUGGGCGUAAAGGGCGCGUAGGCGGCCACCGCAAGUCGACUGUGAAAUCUCCGGGCUUAACCCGGAAAGGCCAGCCGAUACUGCGGGGCUAGAGUGCAGAAGGGGCAACUGGAAUUCUCGGUGUAGCGGUGAAAUGCGUAGAUAUCGAGAGGAACACCUGCGGCGAAGGCGGGUUGCUGGGCUGACACUGACGCUGAAGCGCGAAAGCUAGGGGAGCGAACGGG
rnacentral:rRNA from 1 species